rnacentral:rRNA from 1 species
AGUGAACGCUGGCGGUAGGCCUAACACAUGCCAGUCGAACGGCAGCACAGUAAGAGCUUGCUCUUACGGGUGGCGAGUGGCGGACGGGUGAGGAAUACAUCGGAAUCUACUUUUUCGUGGGGGAUAACGUAGGGAAACUUACGCUAAUACCGCAUACGACCUACGGGUGAAAGCAGGGGAUCUUCGGACCUUGCGCGAUUGAAUGAGCCGAUGUCGGAUUAGCUAGUUGGCGGGGUAAAGGCCCACCAAGGCGACGAUCCGUAGCUGGUCUGAGAGGAUGAUCAGCCACACGGGAACUGAGACACGGUCCAGACUCCUACGGGGGGCAGCAGUGGGGAAUAUUGGACAAUGGGCGCAAGCCUGAUCCAGCCAUACCGCGUGGGUGAAGAAGGCCUUCGGGUUGUAAAGCCCUUUUGUUGGGAAAGAAAAGCAGCAGGUUAAUACCCCGCUGUUCUGACGGUACCCAAAGAAUAAGCACCGGCUAACUUCGUG